rnacentral:rRNA from 1 species
CCCGCUGAACUUAAGCAUAUUACUAAGCGGAGGAAAAGAAACCAACGGGGAUUCCCAUAGUAACUGCGAGUGAAAGGGGAAAAGCCCAGCGCCGAAUCCUGCUGCUGGAGACGGUGGCAGGAACUGUGGCGUGAAGAUGGUGUCUAUCGGUGUGGCUUGCUCGCGUAAGUUCUCCUGAGUGAGGCUCCAUCCCAUGGAGGGUGCAAGGCCCGUGUCGUGAGCAGCCGUCACCGAUGUGCGCUAUCAGAGAGUCGCCUUGUUUGCGAGUACAAGGUGAAGUCGGUGGUAAACUCCAUCGAAGGCUAAAUAUGACCACGAGUCCGAUAGCGAACAAGUACCGUGAGGGAAAAUUGAAAAGCACUUUGAAGAGAGAGCGAAACAGUGCGUGAAACCGCUCAGAGGCAAGCAGAUGGGGCCUCGAAGGCAGAGCCGCGAAUUCAGCCGGUGGUCCGUGCGGUGGGUCGGGAUUGGAGAUCGCAAGACUCUGCCUGGCUUACUUGGUGCGGCUACCGGUGCACUUUCGCGGCUUGUACGCCACCGCCGUUAGAGGAUGCAUCCGCCGGGCCUGCGUGCGGAGCCUAGCUGUCUUCGGGCAGUUGGUGUCUCGCUGCGGGUCUGUGCGCGAUCGCGCUUUAACCGGUCAUGUCAGCAAUGUGCCAGCGUUUGCGCUGGGUCGGCCGGCUCCGGUUGGGCUGUACGACGGAUGACGAGCUUGCUCGGCUCUGACUGCACAUGACGGACUCGGCUGCGCUUUCAGCGUGGUACAUUGUGGAUUCGGUGGCGAGUAUGACGGCCGCCCAUCUAACCCGUCUAAGAACAGGGAAAGACGAAGACUCGGCCGCUAAUUACAUACAAUACGGGAGGGGAAAAU